CGACCUCAGAGCAGGUGAGACUACCCGCCGAAUU
rnacentral:rRNA from 1 species